rnacentral:rRNA from 1 species
GACGAACGCUGGCGGCGUGCUUAACACAUGCAAGUCGAACGGUAAGGCCCCUUCGGGGGUACACGAGUGGCGAACGGGUGAGUAACACGUGAGCAACCUGCCCUUGACUCUGGGAUAACAGUUGGAAACAGCUGCUAAUACCGGAUACGACCUUCGAUGACAUCAUCCGGAGGUGGAAAGCGCUUUAGCGGUCAAGGAUGGACUCGCGGCCUAUCAGCUUGUUGGUGAGGUAACGGCUCACCAAGGCUUCGACGGGUAGCCGGCCUGAGAGGGCGACCGGCCACACUGGGACUGAGAUACGGCCCAGACUCCUACGGGAGGCAGCAGUGGGGAAUAUUGCACAAUGGGCGCAAGCCUGAUGCAGCAACGCCGCGUGCGGGAUGACGGCCUUCGGGUUGUAAACCGCUUUCAGUUCCGACGAAGCGCAAGUGACGGUAGGAACAGAAGAAGGACCGGCCAACUACGUGCCAGCAGCCGCGGUGAUACGUAGGGUCCGAGCGUUGUCCGGAAUUAUUGGGCGUAAAGGGCUUGUAGGCGGUUUGUUACGUCGGAAGUGAAAACUCAGGGCUUAACCCUGAGCCUGCUUCCGAUACGGGCAGACUAGAGGGAUGCAGGGGAGAACGGAAUUCCUGGUGGAGCGGUGGAAUGCGCAGAUAUCAGGAGGAACACCGGUGGCGAAGGCGGUUCUCUGGGCAUUUCCUGACGCUGAGAAGCGAAAGCGUGGGGAGCAAACAGGCUUAGAUACCCUGGUAGUCCACGCCGUAAACGGUGGGCACUAGGUGUGGGGAACAUUCCACGUUCUCCGUGCCGCAGCUAACGCAUUAAGUGCCCCGCCUGGGGAGUACGGCCGCAAGGCUAAAACUCAAAGGAAUUGACGGGGGCCCGCACAAGCGGCGGAGCAUGCGGAUUAAUUCGAUGCGACGCGAAGAACCUUACCUGGGUUUGACAUAUACCGGAAAGCUGCAGAGAUGUAGCCCCCGCAAGGUCGGUAUACAGGUGGUGCAUGGCUGUCGUCAGCUCGUGUCGUGAGAUGUUGGGUUAAGUCCCGCAACGAGCGCAACCCUCGUCCUAUGUUGCCAGCGGAUCACGCCGGGGACUCAUAGGAG